AACGAACGCUGGCGGCAGGCCUAACACAUGCAAGUCGAGCGCACUCUUCGGAGUGAGCGGCGGACGGGUUAGUAACGCGUGGGAAUAUACCCUUCUCUAAGGAAUAGCCUCGGGAAACUGAGAGUAAUACCUUAUACGCCCUUCGGGGGAAAGAUUUAUCGGAGAGGGAUUAGCCCGCGUAAGAUUAGAUAGUUGGUGGGGUAAUGGCCUACCAAGUCUACGAUCUUUAGCUGGUUUUAGAGGAUGAUCAGCAACACUGGGACUGAGACACGGCCCAGACUCCUNACGGGAGGCAGCAGUGGGGAAUCUUGGACAAUGGGCGCAAGCCUGAUCCAGCCAUGCCGCGUGAGUGAUGAAGGCCUUAGGGUCGUAAAGCUCUUUCGCCAGGGAUGAUAAUGACAGUACCGUGGUAAAGAAACCCCGCUAACU
rnacentral:rRNA from 1 species